rnacentral:lncRNA from 1 species
CUAAUAAUGCCUUUCUCAGAUUUUUCUUCUUAAAAAAGAAAAACCUUUACUUUUGGGAAGACAUCAGAUAUUAAUGCUGCUAUGGCUUUAAUAGAGAGUCUACCAGUUACUGAUGAGCUGUUUAAAGGAUGGUUUGCAGUGCCCGGUGGAGGUGAUGAUAGACCACUCCAGACAGGAAGAGGCUGACACAGUGGUGAUCUGCAUCUGCAGCUUCUGAGAGGAAAAAAAAAUCUUCCUUGGCAAGUGGAGCUAGAAACCCAGAAAAUGAAGGAUUAAUACGUUCAUUUAUACAGGAGCAGUGAGAACACAAUAACAUGAAAUACAACCAAGGAGGAUGCAUUUAAAAGACAAAAGAGCCCUGGAAGGGACGGUACUUAGCUUUGUUCAGAAUGCGAACUCUAACAUGCAGUUCUGGGAAUUGGUGAAUUGCACAGCUUAAUGUUAAAAGAAAUUACUUCAUACCACAAGAAAUACACGAUCUGUGCCUUGAAAACCUGAAGGUACUUUCCUUUCUCUUUCUGCCAGGAGAGGAAUGGAACACUGGAUCUACUUGAAAAAACAUCUGAUGACUCAUCAAAGAAGCCUGUGCUUACAGUGUUUCCACAUCAUCAUUUUGCCUUUUACAAUCCUAUUAGUUUUUCUGAAAGACCAUCAAACAGGGGUGGAAUAUACCAAGGAAGCAAUUUCUUCUAGAAAAGUUUUAUCCAAUUAUAUGUUGCUCAACCACCAGAGUAUUCCUUUAUUUCAUAGGCAUGAUAGUUUUCUGUGUAUAUGUCUCAUCUAAGUUGGCUUUUCAGGAGCGCUUGAGUUUCCUAAUGUGUUGAUAGUCUCCAAAGGAGAGCCCUUAUCUCUUAUCUCUUGUACUUACUUCUUGAAGUCUCAAGCAUCUAGAUUGAAAGAUGGACAAAAAAUUUUCUAAGUCAUAUCACAUUCCAUUGGGAGUUCUUUUUCCUUGACGAAGCCUUCCUGAAGGGUUGGAUAAUCCAUAUAGGUCAGCAGCAAGUAAUGGGGUGUCCAACUAAAAAUUGUGAGUUAUGUUUCUAACUGCAAGACUUCUUCAGACAACUUCAGGGGAUAUUAUGUACCCAGCUGAUCAUUCUAGUGGGACACCAGUCAAACAGGGAUCCAAACCUCUGAUGGCAAAGGGAAUGGCAUCACUUUCUUUCUUAGGAAUGACUGCCUGUUCAAAAAGUGGAGCUUUAACAGGAACAGCAUUCAUUAAAUAAAUGUCCAUAAUUAAAAAAAAAAAAGACUGUC